rnacentral:rRNA from 1 species
GAUGAACGCUGGCGGCGUGCCUAAUACAUGCAAGUCGAGCGAACGGACGAUAAGCUUGCUUCUCUGCUGUUAGCGGCUGACGGGUGAGUAACACGUAGAUAACCUACCUCUAAGACUGGGAUAACUUCGGGAAGCCGGAGCUAAUACCGGAUGAUAUUUUGAACCGCAUGGUUCAAAAGUUAUUGACGGUCUUGCUGUCUCUUAUAGAUGGAUCCGCGCUGCAUUAGCUAGUUGGUAAGGUAACGGCUUACCAAGGCAACGAUGCAUAGCCGACCUGAGAGGGUGAUCGGCCACACUGGAACUGAGACACGGUCCAGACUCCUACGGGAGGCAGCAGUAGGGAAUCUUCCGCAAUGGGCGAAAGCCUGACGGAGCAACGCCGCGUGAGUGAUGAAGGUCUUCGGAUCGUAAAACUCUGUUAUUAGGGAAGAACAGAUGUGUAAGUAACUGUGGACAUCUUGACGGUACCUAAUCAGAAAGCCACGGCUAACUACGUG